UUGGUCAGCCGUCUUCGGUCAGCGCUCUGCCGUAGAGAAAAUUAAAAAGAAAAACUAAAUUAUAAUGAUUUAUUUGCUGAAAACGCCGAACCUGGGUUAUUAAUAUAUAUUUUUAGGAAUUUUCUGCGAAAACGAUCUCGAAACUCGAUUGCAUCAUAGUUCGUAAUUAAAAACUAUUGCUGUUAGCUGAUAACUGAUAACGGUUGCAUCAUAGUUUGUAAUUAAAAUCUGUUAGCUGAUAUUCAAGAAAAUGGGAAAUACAAGUGCUAAAUCAGUUGAAGUAAAGGGUCCGGAAGCACCUGUUACUGGGGAAAAACCAAAAUUAAAACCCUGCUGCGCCUGUCCAGAAACAAAACAAGCGAGAGAUGCAUGUAUAAUUGAAAAAGGUGAAGAAUUUUGUGGACCCCUUAUUGAGGAGCAUAAAGCAUGCAUGAGAAAAAUGGGAUUUAAUAUAUAAACAUACAUCAAACAUUAAAAUUUGUAGAACACAUAGUAUACUAGUAUUUCACCAACAUAUUUUAUACUAUUGUGAUUUAUUAAACAAAAAUUAAAAGUUAGCAGUGUGCUACAGUAGAUUGGAGGAUUGAGGAUUCUGACUACCUAUGCCUAGGGUUUCAAAUUUAUCCUUACUCACCAAAAAUCAUGUUUAUCUUGCUAAUGGGGCUAAAAGCCUGGGGUUCAACACCCCCAUUGGCCUAACCACCUAUCAGGGACUGGGUGUCGGAAUUCUUAUAUAAAAAAAAAUUAUUUCCAGCAAUAUUCAUCUAGCACCCUGCUAUCCUCAACAAAUUUUUUCUUUAACCUGAAAUCCGAUAUUGGCUGUUUUUAUUCACAUUUAUUUUUAUUGAAAAGAUCAACUGGCAUUUGUGUGCCUUAACCUAAGAAAAUAUAAAUAUUCCAAGAAUUGUUGUUCAUUAGUAUUUUUCAUAAUUUUUUAUGCAUUUCAAAGUUAUCUGGUUUUCAGGAGCCACAUCAUUCAUUAAAUUUGUUAAGCUUAACUGCUAAAUAGUGUAUUUAUUUGUGUGAUAUUUAGGCAUUUGGUUAUAGCCAAGUAACUUAAUUAAAAAUAAGAUUUAGGCUUUUAAAUUUAUUAACAACUAUAAUUUUCCUGUAUAUGUUAUUGAUGAUAUCCAUUAUAUUGUUAUUUGAAAUUACCCUGUGGCUUUUUACAGUUAAAUCUAGCUGUAUCAGCCUUAUUUCAUAUUGCAACUUGUGGAGUUUGAAAUGUUAUAUCUUUGUUUAGCUCAUGUUGCUGUACCUACAGAUUAAUUUAAAUCAAUACCCUGAUCCUAUUACAAAAUAAGGUUUAAAAAAUUUUGAGUUGUAUAAAUGUUAUAUCAAUGUAACUUGAUGUGUACUGAAACUUAAUUUUGUCUCUUAGAUAUAAUUUAACUUAGAUUGUGUGCUUAUAGUUUACAAUAAAAAAUUUAUUUAAAAUGGAUUGUAAAUAAAUUUGUUUGUUUUAUAA